UCGACUCUUCUUUUCGCUACGGAUCGUACAAAUCUUUCAAUUUUAACUAAAGAUUUCCGUGGAGAAGAACAGCAAUAGUCUUUCUCAAUUUUUUUGAUACCCUAGGUAUCAGUGGUGG
ensembl:snRNA U5 U5 spliceosomal RNA